AAUUGAUAGUAUUACGAGAAAGGACUGAAAACGUAAAAUGAUGAAUAUAAUCUGGCUUAUCCAACUCAAAUUUAACAUUCUGGUUUUAGGGCUCGAUGAUUUCGCAAAGCGACGCUGUUAUCAUAUAGGCUGCCAAGCUAGUGCACGGCGCAGAAAUGGCACCAAAAGAGGAGGGAAAGUAGCAGCAGCAGCACCUGCUUAGAGGAAACCAGUAUGUUCUAUCACUUUUCUCGUGUAUUUCUGCUAUUGGGAGUCGUCUAUGUUCAUUUGUAUUUGUUUGAGAAGCGCCCUGAGCAAUUUGGUAUUGGAAGGGCUCUGUCUCCUUAAAAGGAUUUGCAUAAAUUUGUGGAAUGGCCGAAGUUUGUUGAAAUUCAAAGGAAGAGAAGGAUUCUACAGCAGAGGUUGAAGAUGCCUCCGGGUCUGAACCUAUUCAGCUCAGGAAGACACUCGACAAAAAUCUUGAGCAACAAGCUUGUUCAGUUUGCUUCUCAAGUACAGGCCAUAUGACAGAGCAACAAAGAAGGCUUUUUGCAGAGAGCUGAGAUUGAGGCUGAAGGGAAAACUGUUGAGGCAGAAGCCCAUUGUUGUUGACUAUGGUUUUAAUCACAUUGCUUGUUUCAUUGAGCAGGCAAACUUCAAUGCCAAGUACGACAAGAUUAGGAAGUAUAGAGGAAGGUGGGAUGGCGGUUUCUAAGUCGGAAGCCAAAACCAAGGCUGAAGAGAGACGCCUGCACAAAGAAUAAACUGGGAUCAUUAAUGAGAGUUUUUGGUAUUUAAGCCACUAGAGUUUUUAUAUGCAAAUCAUUCUCAAAAUCCUUCUUCCUGGUGUGCAGUUCAAUCAAAAAGUCAUUCUAUCUUAAGAAGUUGUCUUCUAGGUCUUGCCACUACCCAAAAUCUUCGGUUUAAGUGAGAAUCAAAAUCACAACAGCCAGAAGAGAAUGUGAGUACACAAUAAUACAAAAUUCAGCAAGAUAUUAAGAAAUUACCUUCCUGGCACAGGAACAGAAGUAUCACCUCCUUGGAUCUUUGGAGUUCCAUCUAGUGUACAUAUUAGCUGGUAUAUCAUGGUCGCAGCAAAGUCCUAUAAAUUCAUCAAGAUAGGUUGAGGACUCAUAAUCUUGGGACGACGAUGGAGAUCAACCUGUAGACAUCUCUAUCUCAAGGCUAUUUGUAAAUGGAGAAAUCAUUUUAUGAAGUGAAACGGUCACACGAAUUGGUAAAUACGGGAAAUUGAGUCCAGCACCUGUUUAUAACAGGUGUGUAAUCUCUCAUUCUAUAUGAGUGGCACGUGCGCUACAUUUGUUCCUAGGUAUAAAUGAUAACAACUUUUAUCAUAAA